rnacentral:rRNA from 1 species
CAAUAGCGUAUAUUAAAGUUGUUGCAGUUAAAAAGCUCGUAGUUGGAUUUCGGGGCAGCCUGGCUGGUCCGCCGCAAGGCGAGUACUGGUCAGCCGCCCUUCCUCUCGAAAGCCCCGACUGCUCUUUAUUGCAGUGGUCGGGUAGUUCGGGACGUUUACUUUGAAAAAAUUAGAGUGUUCAAGGCAGGCCUACGCCUGAAUACAUUAGCAUGGAAUAAUGGAAGAGGACCUCGGUCUUAUUUUGUUGGUUUCCAGGACCGAAGUAAUGAUUAAGAGGGACAGUUGGGGGCAUUCGUAUUUAAUUGUCAGAGGUGAAAUUCUCGGAUUUAUGAAAGACGAACAACUGCGAAAGCAUUUGCCAAGGAUGUUUUCAUUAA